rnacentral:rRNA from 1 species
UUGCGACAGGCUUAACACAUGCAAGUCGAGGGGCAGCACAGGUAGCAAUACCGGGUGGCGACCGGCGCACGGGUGAGUAACGCGUAUGCAACUUGCCUAUCAGAGGGGGAUAACCCGGCGAAAGUCGGACUAAUACCGCAUGAAGCAGGGAUCCCGCAUGGGAAUAUUUGCUAAAGAUUCAUCGCUGAUAGAUAGGCAUGCGUUCCAUUAGGCAGUUGGCGGGGUAACGGCCCACCAAACCGACGAUGGAUAGGGGUUCUGAGAGGAAGGUCCCCCACAUUGGUACUGAGACACGGACCAAACUCCUACGGGAGGCAGCAGUGAGGAAUAUUGGUCAAUGGCCGAGAGGCUGAACCAGCCAAGUCGCGUGAGGGAUGAAGGUUCUAUGGAUCGUAAACCUCUUUUAUAAGGGAAUAAAGUGCGGGACGCGUCCCGUUUUGUAUGUACCUUAUGAAUAAGGAUCGGCUAACUCCGUGCCAGCAGCCGCGGUAAUACGGAGGAUCCGAGCGUUAUCCGGAUUUAUUGGGUUUAAAGGGUGCGUAGGUGGCCUUUUAAGUCAGCGGUGAAAGUCUGUGGCUCAACCAUAGAAUUGCCGUUGAAACUGGGGGGCUUGAGUAUGUUUGAGGCAGGCGGAAUGCGUGGUGUAGCGGUGAAAUGCAUAGAUAUCACGCAGAACCCCGAUUGCGAAGGCAGCCUGCCAAGCCAUUACUGACGCUGAUGCACGAAAGCGUGGGGAUCAAACAGGAUUAGAUACCCUGGUAGUCCACGCAGUAAACGAUGAUCACUAGCUGUUUGCGAUACAUUGUAAGCGGCACAGCGAAAGCGUUAAGUGAUCCACCUGGGGAGUACGCCGGCAACGGUGAAACUCAAAGGAAUUGACGGGGGCCCGCACAAGCGGAGGAACAUGUGGUUUAAUUCGAUGAUACGCGAGGAACCUUACCCGGGUUUGAACGCAUUCGGACCGAGGUGGAAACACCUUUUCUAGCAAUAGCCGUUUGCGAGGUGCUGCAUGGUUGUCGUCAGCUCGUGCCGUGAGGUGUCGGCUUAAGUGCCAUAACGAGCGCAACCCUUGCCACUAGUUACUAACAGGUGAUGCUGAGGACUCUGGUGGGACUGCCAGCGUAAGCUGCGAGGAAGGCGGGGAUGACGUCAAAUCAACACGGCCCUUACAUCCGGGGCGACACACGUGUUACAAUGGCGUGGACAAAGGGAGGCCACCUGGCGACAGGGAGCGAAUCCCCAAACCACGUCUCAGUUCGGAUCGGAGUCUGCAACCCGACUCCGUGAAGCUGGAUUCGCUAGUAAUCGCGCAUCAGCCAUGGCGCGGUGAAUACGUUCCCGGGCCUUGUACACACCGCCCGUCAAGCCAUGGGAGCCGGGGGUACCUGAAGUCCGUAACCGCGAGGAUCGGCCUAGGGUAAAACUGGUGACUGGG